CCUACGGGAGGCAGCAGUGAGGAAUAUUGGUUAAUGGACGAGAGUCUGAACCAGCCAAGUAGCGUGAAGGAUGACUGCCCGAUGGGUUGUAAACUUCGUUUAUAAAGGAAUAAAACGAGGCACGUGUGCCUUUUUGCAUGUACUUUAUGAAUAAGGAUCGGCUAACUCCGUGCCAGCAGUCGCGGUAAUACGGAGGAUCCGAUCGUUAUCCGGAUUUAGUGGGUUUAAAGGGAGCGUAGAUGGGUUGGUAAGUCAGUUGUGAAAGUUUGCGGCUCAACCGUAAAAUUGCAAUUGAUACUGGCAGUCUUGAGUACAGUUGAGGUAGGCGGAAUUCGUUGUGUAGCGGUGAAAUGCUUAGAUAUCACGAAGAACCCCGAUUGCGAAGGCAGCUUACUAAACUGUGACUGACAUUGAUGCUCGAAAGUGUGGGUAUCAAACAGGAUUAGAUACCCUGGUAGUC
rnacentral:rRNA from 1 species